rnacentral:rRNA from 1 species
AUCAACUUUCGAUGGUAGGUAGAGGCCUACCAUGGUGGUAACGGGUAACGGGGUGUUAGGGCACGACACCAGGGAGCCUGAGAAACGGCUACCACAUCCAAGGAAGGCAGCAGGUGCGCAAAUUACCCAAUCCCGACACGGGGAGGUAGUGACAAUAAAUAACAAUACAGGGUUCUUUUGGAUCUUGUAAUUGGAAUGAGUACAAUUUAAAUCUCUUAACGAGGAACAAUUGGAGGGCAAGUCUGGUGCCAGCAGCCGCGGUAAUUCCAGCUCCAAUAGCGUAUAUUAAAGUUGUUGCAGUUAAAAAGCUCGUAGUUGAACUUCGGGAUCAAUGGAUUGGUCAUGCCGAUGGUAUGAACUGGUCAUAUUGGUUCUCACCUUCUAAGGAACCAUGAUGUCAUUUAUUUGAUGUUGUGGGGAAUUAGGACUGUUACCUUGAAAAAAUUAGAGUGUUUAAAGCAGGCUAACGCUUGAAUACAUUAGCAUGGAAUAAUGAAAUAGGACAUCGCAUUCUAUUUUGUUGGUUUCCAGGAUCGAUGUAAUGAUUAAUAGGGAUAGUUGGGGGCAUUAGUAUUCAAUUGUCAGAGGUGAAAUUCUUGGAUUUAUUGAAGACUAACUACUGCGUUGCCAGGAUGUUUUCAUUAAUCAAGAACGAAAGUGGAUCGAAGACGAUCAGAUACCGUCGUAGUCUUAACCAUAAACUAUGCCGACUAGGGAUCGGAUGAUGUUAAUUUUUUAAUGAUUCGAUUG